GUCUAUGGCCAUACCACCCUGCAUGUGCCUGUUCUCGUCUGAUCUUGAAAGCUAAGCAGGGUCAGGCCUGGUUAGUACUUGGAUGGGAGAAAGAAGGAAAUAAAUACG
rnacentral:rRNA from 1 species